rnacentral:rRNA from 1 species
UACGGGGGGGGCAAGCGUUGUUCGGAAUUACUGGGCGUAAAGCGCGCGUAGGCGGCUAUACAAGUCAGGUGUGAAAUCUCGGGGCUUAACUCCGAAAGUGCACUUGAAACUGUAUGGCUAGAGUACAGUAGAGGUUGGUGGAAUUCCCAGUGUAGAGGUGAAAUUCGUAGAUAUUGGGAAGAACACCAGUGGCGAAGGCGGCUCACUGGCCCGAUACUGACGCUGAGGCACGAAAGCGUGGGGAGCAAACAGG